GCUCUAGUGGUGCAACCGUUAAGCACUUGGCUACUAAUCAAAAGAUUGGUGGUUUAAACCCACUCAGCAGCU
rnacentral:tRNA from 1 species